rnacentral:rRNA from 1 species
CGUAGGACGCGAGCGUUAUCCGGAUUUACUGGGCGUAAAGCGUCUGUAGGCGGAUGUGUAAGUUGGGCGUGAAAGCUCCGGGCUUAACCCGGAGAGGCCGUUCAAUACUGCAUAACUUGAGGGUGUCAGAGGGGAGCGGAAUUCCCGGUGUAGCGGUAAAAUGCGCAGAGAUCGGGAGGAACACCAGUGGCGGAGGCGGUUCCCUGGGGCACACCUGACGCUGAGAGACGAAAGCUAGGGGAGCGAACAGGAUUAGAGACCCUGGUAGUCCUAGCCCUAAACGAUGAAUGCUAGGUGUGGGAUCGAAUGGUUCCGUGCCGGAGCGAACGCGAUAAGCAUUCCGCCUGGGGAGUACGGCCGCAAGGUUAAAACUCAAACGAAUUGACGGGGCCCCGCACAAGCAGCGGAGCGUGUGGUUUAAUUCGAUGCUACACGAAGAACCUUACCUGGGUUUGACAUGUAGGUGGUAGUGAAUCGAAAGGUGAACGACCCUUCGGGGAGCCUACACAGGUGCUGCAUGGCUGUCGUCAGCUCGUGCCGUGAGGUGUCGGGUUAAGUCCCGUAACGAGCGCAACCCUUGCUCCUAGUUACAAGUGUCUAGGGGGACUGCCGGCGGAAAGCCGGAGGAAGGUGGGGAUGACGUCAAGUCAGCAUGGCCCUUAUAUCCAGGGCUACACACACGCUACAAUGGUCGGUACAAAGGGCAGCGAAACCGCGAGGCGGAGCGAAUCCGAGAAAAGCCGAUCGUAGUUCGGAUAGCAGGCUGCAACCCGCCUGCUUGAAGCUGGAGUUGCUAGUAACCGCGCGUCAGCCAUAGCGCGGUGAAUACGUUCCCGGGGC